UACGGGGGGGGCAAGCGUUGUUCGGAAUUAUUGGGCGUAAAGGGCGCGUAGGCGGUGCGGCAAGUCUCCUGUGAAAACUCCGGGCUCAACUCGGAGCCUGCAGGAGAAACUGCCGUGCUUGAGUGUGGGAGAGGUGAGUGGAAUUCCCGGUGUAGCGGUGAAAUGCGUAGAUAUCGGGAGGAGCACCUGUGGCGAAAGCGGCUCACUGGACCACAACUGACGCUGAGGCGCGAAAGCUAGGGGAGCAAACAGG
rnacentral:rRNA from 1 species